UGGGGAAUAUUGCACAAUGGGCGCGAGCCUGAUGCAGCCAUGCCGCGUGUGUGAAGAAGGCCUUCGGGUUGUAAAGCACUUUCAGCGGGGAGGAAGGCGAUAAGGUUAAUAACCUUGUCGAUUGACGUUACCCGCAGAAGAAGCACCGGCUAACUCCGUGCCAGCAGCCGCGGUAAUACGGAGGGUGCAAGCGUUAAUCGGAAUUACUGGGCGUAAAGCGCACGCAGGCGGUCUGUCAAGUCGGAUGUGAAAUCCCCGGGCUCAACCUGGGAACUGCAUUCGAAACUGGCAGGCUAGAGUCUUGUAGAGGGGGGUAGAAUUCCAGGUGUAGCGGUGAAAUGCGUAGAGAUCUGGAGGAAUACCGGUGGCGAAGGCGGCCCCCUGGACAAAGACUGACGCUCAGGUGCGAAAGCGUGGGGAGCAAACAGG
rnacentral:rRNA from 1 species